AUUGAACGCUGGCGGCAGGCUUAACACAUGCAAGUCGAGCGGGGUGAUGGUGCUUGCACUAUCACUUAGCGGCGGACGGGUGAGUAAUGCUUAGGAAUCUGCCUAUUAGUGGGGGACAACAUCUCGAAAGGGAUGCUAAUACCGCAUACGUCCUACGGGAGAAAGCAGGGGAUCACUUGUGACCUUGCGCUAAUAGAUGAGCCUAAGUCGGAUUAGCUAGUUGGUGGGGUAAAGGCCUACCAAGGCGACGAUCUGUAGCGGGUCUGAGAGGAUGAUCCGCCACACUGGGACUGAGAAACGGCCCAGACUCCUACGGGAGGCAGCAGUGGGGAAUAUUGGACAAUGGGGGGAACCAUGAUCCAGCCAUGCCGCGUGUGUGAAGAAGGCCUUAUGGUUGUAAAGCACUUUAAGCGAGGAGGAGGCUCUUUUGGUUAAUACCCAAGAUGAGUGGACGUUACUCGCAGAAUAAGCACCGGCUAACUCUGUGCCAGCAGCCGCCGUAA
rnacentral:rRNA from 1 species